rnacentral:rRNA from 1 species
GCUGAGGCGGGGGCGGCUGCCGCGGUAAUCCGGAGGGGGGUAGGGUUGGCCGGAAUCAUUGGGCGGAAAGGGCGGGUAGGCGGUACGGUAAGGCUGCUGUGAAAGUCGGGGGCUCAACCCUCGGAUGCCGGUGGAUACUGUCGGGCUUGAGUACGGAAGAGGCGAGUGGAAUUCCUGGUGUAGCGGUGAAAUGCGCAGAUAUCAGGAGGAACACCAAUUGCGAAGGCAGCUCGCUGGGACGUUACUGACGCUGAGACGCGAAAGCGUGGGGAGCAAACAGGAUUAGAUACCCUAGUAGUC